CAACUGAGCUAAACAAUGCAUCUUUAGUCCCACUCUCUGGUUAGAUACAGGUAAACCAUGCAAAAUAGGUCCCGCCCACAGUCUCUCUGACGAAUGCAGGUGGUGCGUGUCAGAAGGGGCGGUCUCACUCGUUUCCCGCGUGAAAAUAGGGCAUUUCCCUCCAAAAAUCUUUGUUGUUUAUUUAAGCCCCUGAGGGAUAUUCAGUCUGUUUGGACCUGCCCUUCUCUGAGGACACAAACAUGGCAAUGGACGGUUGACAGGACGAAUCACCAAGACAAACAAGACGAGCCAAACAAUGGAGAGGGGCCACCACAGGAGCCUGAAGGGAAAGUAACGAGAGCAGCCAGGAGCUGAAAGCGUGGGCAGAGGAACAGGCUGCUGAGGACGAGUUGGAAGACGGUUUCCUAAACUGAAUCCUGAUUUCCUGUAAUGGAGUUUUGUGGACUGACAGUUUGCAUGGUUGGUGCUCGGCCCAGGAUAGGAGAGACACCUGGUCCAACAAGGUGAUGGAUGGCUGAAAGGACGAAUCACCAAGAGGAGCCAAACAAUGGCUGAUAUAUCUGCAAAGUGCUGAUAGUCAUUGUUCAUUUCUCCCGAACGAGAACAGUCAGGAGCUGAAAGUGUCGGCAGAGGAAUGGGAUGAUGAGGACGAGUUGGACGACAGCUUCCUGAACUGAGUCCUGAUUUCCUGUAAUCGAGUUUUGUGGACUGACAUGUUGCCUGGUUGGUGCUCAGACCGUCUGCGAUGAAGCAUUAAAUGAGUCAAACUUA